CACCGCGGUUAUACGAGAGGUCCAAGUUGAUAGAAAUCGGCGUAAAGAGUGGUUAGGAUAAUUUUACUUAACUAAAGCCAAACACCUUCAGAACUGUUAUACGUACCCGAAGGCAUGAAGAACCGCUACGAAAGUGGCUUUAUUUACCCUGAACCCACGAAAGCUAUGUCA
rnacentral:rRNA from 1 species